GUACACGCUGUGACUAGCAUAUCAAUAAGCGGAGGAAAAGGCGGCGGAGAGUAUUGGUGUGGGCGUACCUACGCUUAGGAUGUUGACACACGCGCGUGCUCGACUCUAUACAUGACUCUGCGCAUAUCAAUAAGCGGAGGAAAAGAAACUAACAAGGAUUCCCCUAGUAACGGCGAGUGAAGCGGGAAGAGCUCAAAUUUGAAAUCUUAAAGGGUUUCCCUUUACGAGUUGUAGUUUAAAGAAGUGUUUUCUGUUGAGGUUUUGGUAAAAGUUCUUUGGAAUAGGACAUCAUAGAGGGUGAGAAUCCCGUAUUUGACCUUUACUUUCAACUUUGUGAUACACUUUCAAAGAGUCGGAUUGUUUGGGAAUGCAGUCCAAAAUGGGUGGUAAAUUUCAUCUAAAGCUAAAUAUUGGCGAGAGACCGAUAGCGAACAAGUACCGUGAGGGAAAGAUGAAAAGAACUUUGAAAAGAGAGUUAAACAGUACGUGAAAUUAGUCAAAAGGGAAGCGUUUGACACCUAGUGUUGUUUUUCUGAAAAUCAAUUAAAGAACUGUUUAUGCUAAGCUGUUUAGACUUUAUCAGCUAUCUGUUUAGUUUUAGGCUUUUCUUUAAUUGCACUUUUCAGUUAACAAGUCAACAUCAAUUUCUUUUGCUGUAAAAAAGCUUGAGGAAGGUGGCUUGAGAUUCGUCUUAAGUGUUUAUAGCCUCUUGCCUAUGCAGUCGGAGAGAUUGAGGUCUGCAGCGUAGAUCCUUCGGGGCUAAAUGCAUUUGUGCUAAGUUAUAGCAUUUUAUAGACAACUUGUUGACUAUGAUUUGUCUUGUAGCUUACUCGCUUAUGUUAUUUUACCUACGCUUAGGAUGUUGAGUCGUAGAGCACGCAG
rnacentral:rRNA from 1 species